GAUGAACGCUAGCGGCAGGCCUAACACAUGCAAGUCGAGGGGCAGCACAGAAACAGCAAUGUUUUGGUGGCGACCGGCGGACGGGUGCGUAACGCGUCUCCAACCUACCUUUAACAGGGGGAUACCGGAGAGAAAUUUCACCUAAUACCCCAUACCAUCGAACAAGGCAUCUUGAUUGUUUGAAAACUCCGGUGUUUAAAGAUGGGCAUGAGUUGUAUUAGGUAGUUGGUGAGGUAAUGGCUCACCAAGCCUACGAUACAUAGGGGGACUGAGAGGUUAGCCCCCCACACUGGCACUGAGACACGGACCAGACUCCUACGGGAGGCAGCAGUGAGGAAUAUUGGUCAAUGGGGGCAACCCUGAACCAGCCAUGCCGCGUGCAGGAAGACGGCUCUAUGAGUUGUAAACUGCUUUUAAACAGGGAUAAAGCACAGUAUGUAUACUGUGUUGAAGGUACUGUAAGAAUAAGGAUCGGCUAACUCCGUGCCAGCCGCCGCCGUAA
rnacentral:rRNA from 1 species